CCGGCGACCGGCGCACGGGUGAGUAACACGUAUGGAACCUGCCCGCAGCAGGGGGAUAAGCGGAAGAAAUUCCGUCUAAUACCGCGUAACAACGUUGGGAGGCAUCUCCCGAUGUUUAAAGAUUUAUCGGCUGCGGAUGGCCAUGCGGCGCAUUAGCUAGUCGGCGGGGUAACGGCCCACCGAGGCGACGAUGCGUAGGGGUUCUGAGAGAAAGGUCCCCCACACUGGUACUGAGACACGGACCAGACUCCUACGGAAGGCAGCAG
rnacentral:rRNA from 1 species